CCUACGGGAGGCAGCAGUGGGGAAUAUUGCGCAAUGGGCGAAAGCCUGACGCAGCGACGCCGCGUGAGGGAUGAAGGUCUUCGGAUCGUAAACCUCUGUCAGCAGGGAAGAACGGUCACUGUGCUAAUCAGCAGUGAAUUGCCGGUACCUGCAAAGGAAGCACCGGCUAACUCCGUGCCCGCAGCCGCGGUACUACGGAGGGUGCGAGCGUUAAUCGGAAUUACUGGGCGUAAAGCGAUCGUAGGCGGUACGUCAAGUCAAGUGUGAAAUCCCCGAGCGCAACGUGUGAACUGCCUUUGAAACUGGCAAACUGGAGUGUGUGAGAGGAUAGUGGAAUUCCAGGUGUAGGAGUGAAAUCCGUAGAUAUCUGGAGGAACAUCAGUGGCGAAGGCGACUAUCUGGCACAUAACUGACGCUGAGGAGCGAAAGCGUGGGUAGCAAACAGGAUUAGAUACCCUAGUAGUC
rnacentral:rRNA from 1 species